GAUGAACGCUGGCGGCGUGCCUAAUACAUGCAAGUCGAGCGAACAGAUGAGGAGCUUGCUCCGCUGACGUUAGCGGCGGACGGGUGAGUAACACGUGGAUAACCUACCUAUAAGACUGGGAUAACUUCGGGAAACCGGAGCUAAUACCGGAUAAUAUAUUGAACCGCAUGGUUCAAUAGUGAAAGACGGUUUUGCUGUCACUUAUAGAUGGAUCCGCGCCGCAUUAGCUAGUUGGUAAGGUAACGGCUUACCAAGGCAACGAUGCGUAGCCGACCUGAGAGGGUGAUCGGCCACACUGGAACUGAGACACGGUCCAGACUCCUACGGGAGGCAGCAGUAGGGAAUCUUCCGCAAUGGGCGAAAGCCUGACGGAGCAACGCCGCGUGAGUGAUGAAGGUCUUCGGAUCGUAAAACUCUGUUAUUAGGGAAGAACAAAUGUGUAAGUAACUAUGCACGUCUUGACGGUACCUAAUCAGAAAGCCACGGCUAACUUCGUG
rnacentral:rRNA from 1 species